CGGCUGUCACGGUCGCUGCCCACCCGGGUUCUUCGCUGCUUCUAGUUCCGGGCGCUUUGCCGGGCGUUAAUGGCGGCCAACAUCGCCGGUGCUGCGGCUUUCUCCCUAAAGUGUCACAGGAGCUAAGGGCGCUGCUUAACGAACUGCAGAAGACGCAGGCAGAACAUGAAGCAUACUGAAGUAGAGACGGCAGGAUUUUCUCAUGCAUGGAAUAUGGGAUGUGAAUGAAAACAGAAGGAUCACUUGAUGGCUGCGGACCUGAGCAACUGGAGGGAUGGAGUUGCAAUUAGGUGAAGUGAGGAAUUCAGCAGGGGAAGCAAGUUUUGGGGCAGAAGAUUUUAUCAGGGAUAUUUUAGUAAUUAAAUAGUUAGAUUAGUGUCUUAAUCACAACUCCACAUCCUUACCUGAUUUGGAGCUUCUGUCAGUCUCCCAGCUCUGAGCUGCUUCAGGCUGGGAAGCCGACAGUCGGGGAGAAGUCAUGGAUAGCUUCUGGUCCUCUUUUCCCACUGUGGCUGUCCUCCUCUUCCCCGGCCCUCACUAUGUUGUCUCCAGCUCCUCUUCUGGGACAGGAAGGGACAGAAAGAUCUUACUGACAGGUACCCCAUGAAGGUACCCCCUAGGGGAUGGAGAUCCCAGGGCUUCCCCUCCUUGAGUCCCUCAGAGAUUCCUGGUAAUGCCUCUCAUCUGACUGCCAUUUUGACCGCUCCCUGUCAUCUUUCAGGCCACCUCUCUUUUGGGAUCCCAUGGUCUUUCUAGGGAAGGAUCCAAGAGGGACCCAGGAUCCACAUUUGGUCCAUAAGAACCACCCGUACUUUGCCCUGUCCUCAGAGGGCGUGUAGUCCACAUCUAACACAGCCCUCUCUACUCUGCCACCUCUGGCCACUUUGGCCUGGAGAAUGUUUUCAGAACUCAUCUCUGUACUACACAAACUCUAAGGACCUCAAGUCAGAUUCUCCAAGGAGUUCUCUUGAGGUCCUUUCUGUUGCCUACUUAAAGUGACCUGGCAACUAACCAAACACACAUACAAUUAACAGAAGACAUAUGGAUGGAUGGCCAUAGGAGCAUAAUAGUCAUAAUCUGGAAACAAUCCAAAUUUUAAUCAGUAAUAGAAAUGGAUAAAUAGUGGGCCUGGCACAGUGGCUCACAUCUGUAACCCUAGCACUUUGGGAGGCUGAGCUGGGAGAAUUGCUUGAGCCCAGAAGUUUAAGACCAGCCUGGGCAACAUGGCAAAACCCCAUCUCUAGCCAAAAAAACCCACAAAAAUUAGCCAGUUGUGAUGGUGCACACUUGUAGUCUCAGCUACUACUUGGGAGGCUUAGGUGGGAGGAUUGCUUGAGGCUGGUAGGUGGAGGUUGCAGUGAGCUGAGAUCCCACCACUGCCCUCCAGCCUGGGUGACACAGCAAGACCUCGUCUCAAAAAAAAAAAAAAAAAAGAAUGGAUAAAUAAUGGUAGCAUAUUUUUUAAUGCAAUUUUUUAAAAAAGAAUGAACUACUACCACAAUGUGGGUAAAUUUCACAGGCAUAUGUUAAGUCAAAGAAACAAAAUACAGGCAGGGCAUAGUGGCUCACGCCUGUAAUCCCAGCACUUUGGGAGGCUGAGGCGGGCGGAUCACAAGGUCAGGAGAUCAGGACCAUCCUGGCUAACACGGUGAAACCCCAUCUCUACUAAAAAUACAAAAAAUUAGCUGGGCAUGGUGGCAUGCGCCUGUAAUCCCAGCUACUUGGGAGGCUGAGGCAGGAGAAUCACUUGAACCCGGGAGGUGCAGGUUGUAGUCAGCUGAGAUUGCGCCACUGCACUCCAGCCUGGGCGACAGAGCGAGACUCCAUCUCAAAAAAAAAAAAAAAAAAAAAAAAGAAAAAGAAAAGAAACAAAAUACAAAAGAAUGCAUACAGUUUGAUUCCAUUUAUAUGACUUUCAACAACAGGCAAAACUAAUCUAUGCUGUUAGAAGUCAAGAUAGUAGGGUAAGUAGUGAGUGGACAAGAGGGAGGUUUUGGGGAGAUCUACUGGAAUAUGCUCUAACUUAAUCUGGGUGAUGAUUACAUUUGUUACGUAAUGGGCUUAUACAUUUCUACAGUUUCAUCUAGCUCUACAGUUGAGAUGUGUGCAUUUUAUUACAUAUAUGUUUACUAAGAAAGUGAAAAGACAAUUCACGGAGAAAUUUUUCUCCCUAUUAUUCAUACAUUGCAUUUUCAUCAUUUGAUAACAUGAGUUGGGGAUUAUUUACAAAGAAUGCUUUAGUUGUGAGGACAUUCUAAGCCUAAAACUGGCAGAGACAUUUCAAAAAUGAAAAUGUUAUGUCUAAGGAAAAACAGCCCUCUUCCUUUGCUGCCUGUGACCGCUGUUACCACACUUCUCAGGUUCUCCUAAGCGAGCAGCGUGGCUUCCUGGGCUUCUACCAGAAUUUACCAGCAGGGGUCAGCCCUGUACAAAACCCAGGCGCUUGAGCCUCCCGUGAAUUGGAACUUGCUCUCUGGUUCUGUCAAGCCAUUCUGGCCUUUUAGCUUUCUCACUUCACAUUCCCAGCUACACUUCCUUCUGCUCUGUUACCACCACCCACUCCCGUGAUCACAACAUGGACCAGAAACUUCACAGCCUUCCUCACUCAUUCAAACACGCUCUCCUCUCCUUCCGUGCUCUCAAGUAACCCCCGCAGCAACAGUCCUUUCAGCUUAGCAAGCUCUUCAGUCCAAGCCCUGCUGCUUUCUCUCCAUCCUGCAGUCCCCUCCUCUCUUCACUCUCCCCUUUUCAACCCAGACAUCACGGGUCAUCAAUGAAAUCACUUUUGCAAACACCUCCAACUCUUUGACCAUUCUAGGCCUCAGCUCCUAACCCCUUAGGAUUUUCUGGCCGGGCGCGGUGGCUCACGUCUGUAAUCCCAGCACUUUGGGAGGCCGAGGUGGGCGGAUCAUUUGAGGUCAGGGGUUCCAGACCAGCCUGGCCAACAUGGUGAACCCCGUCUCUGCUAAAAAUACAAAAAUUAGCUGGGUGCGGUGGUGGGCGCCUGCAAUCCCAGCUACUUGGGAGACAGGGGAAUCGCUUGAACCCAGGAGGCAGACGUUGCAGUGAGCCGAGAUUGCGCCACUGCAGCACUGCCGCUUGGGCAACAAGAGUAGAAAAAAAAAAAAGUUAAAAAAAAAAAAAGGAUUUUCUGUUGCACUUGGGAUAAAGUACAAAGCCCAAUACAGAGCCCCCAAGGCCCUGAGUGACCCAACCUUGGGCUGGUAUCUCUCCCACCAUGACUCAUGCACAGCACUCCCCUCUCCAUGUUUUCCACUCUUCCCUCUCCCAGUGGAGAAAAAGUCAUUUCCUCCAAGUCCACUCUCUCAUUCUCUUUCCUAACAAGGGGUUUAUUUCCUUCAAGACACAAUAUAAAACUUUAUCAUAUUUGUAUAAUUGCGUAUUUAAUGUUUGUCUUCCGCUUGGGGCUGUGCACUCAACAGAAGCAGUGCCAAGCACUUGCUAGGUUCAUAGAAGACACUUAAGUGUUUGUUGGCCAGGCGUGGGGGCUCACGCCUAUAAUCCCAGCACUUUGGGAGGCUGAGGCGGGCAGGUAGCUUGACCCCAGGAGUUUGAGACCAGCCUGAGCAACAUGGCGAAACACCGCCUCUACAAAUAAUUGAAAAAAUUAGCCGGGUGCGGCCAGGCGCGGCGGCUCACGCCUGUAAUUCCAGCACGUGGGAGGCCGAGGCGGGUGGAUCACAGGGUCAGGAGUUUGAGACCAGCCUGGCCAACAUGGUGAAACCCCAUCUCUACUAAAAAUACAAAAAUUAGCCGGGCGUGGUGGCACUCGUCUGUAGUCCCAGCUCCUCAGGAGGCUGAGAAGGGAGAAUCGCUUAAACCUAGGAGGUGGAGGUUGCAGUGAGCAGAGAUCAUGCCACUGCACUCCAGCCAGGGCGACAGAGCCUCCAGAGCGAGACUCCGUCUCAAAAAAAAAAAAAAUUAUCCGGGUGCUACUCGGGAAGCUACUGUAACCCCCAGCUACUCAGGAAGCUGAGGUGGGAAGAUCUCUGGAGCCUGGGCUGUUGAGGCUGCAGUGAGCUGAGAUUGCGCCACUGCAUUCCAGCCAGCCUGGGUGACAGACUGAGACCCUGUCUCAAAAAAAAAAAAAAAAAAAAAAAAAAAAAAGAAGAAAGAAAGAAAGAAAGAAGGAAAUGUUUGUUGAAUUAGAAUGUCAAUCUAGACCUUGACCCCACCAAGACAGAAGACAGGUGUAGUGCCCUCUGUUAUUUAGAAAAAUAAUCGUAGUAGCACUUUACAUUUGUAUAGUAUUUGUCUUUUCAAAGUACUUUAACAUCUAUUAUCAUAAUAAUAAAGAUAGGUAAAAAUAGGUUGCAUACAAUAGGUAAGUGCUAUUUUCCCAUUUGACAGGUUAAAAAAAAAAUGAGUCACGAAGAAAGUUGGCUAAAAUAUCAGAGUAAGGACUAAAGCCAAAAUCUCUAACCUACCCAUUUGUACAUCUUAAUUAGUAAGUAAAUAUUCUGUCUUAUGAUCAAACUUGCAGUUGAGAUAAUAGCUUAAUAGGUAAGUGUUCAGCCCUAGAGACAUAAUGUUCAGUUUCCAAACCCAGCUCCAGUACUUAACUUGCUGUGUGACCUGGCACAAGUUACCUAACUUCCCUGAGCUUCAGUUUCUCCAUGCUUAAAGUGUGAAUAAUAAUGCCUAUCUGAGGUGGUUGUAGUGAGGUUAUAAAGAGUAUAUUGCUAGGAGUGGUGGCUCAUGCCUGUAAUCCCAGCACUUUGGGAGCCCAAGGUGGGCGGAUCACCUGAGGUCCCGUGUUCAAGACCAACCUGACCAACAUGGAGAAACCUCGUUUCUACUAAAAAUACAAAAUUAGCCAGGUGCGGUGGCUC
rnacentral:lncRNA from 10 species